UCCCUUGUAGCUCAGUUGGUAAAGCAUCUGCCUGCAAUGCAGGAGACCUGGGUUGGAUUCCUUGGUCGGGAA
rnacentral:tRNA from 1 species